rnacentral:snoRNA from 1 species
GGGGUGUGAUGAUUUGAAACUUUGGUCCGUGUUUCUGAUGUGCUUAACGCACCUGCAGAGAACGGUUUCUUCGUCUGACCCC